GGGCGAUUAGCUCAGUUGGCUAGAGCGUCCCCUUUACACGGGGAAGGUCGCUGGUUCGAGUCCAGUAUCGCCCA
rnacentral:tRNA from 3 species